GGACUUGCACUUGACUUUGACUAAAACACUGAGGUCUUUAGACUUGGUUUGGGGACUUGACUACAGAACUAAGUUGACUCUUCAUUACCCUUGUCCAGAGUCCCACCCAAGUAAUGGUGACUUAGCUCAACUUGCCCUUUUUGGACUCUAGUAGGAAUUAACACCAUGGUUAAGACUUGAGUCACACUCAUUAUUGGGGGCUUGAGACACAACUCAGACCUAGGACCUUUACAUCAGUAAUGGGGACUUCACUGGAGUUGCUCUCUGGUGACUUGCACUUAAAUCAGACCAAAACACUUCAGACUUCAAACGAACCUUAGGCUUGACAUUUGCUGACUUGACUAGGCCAGUGGCUCAAGGUAAUAAGGACUCAACUGUGAUCCUGGUAAUAAGGACUCAGAACUGACUUGAAUUCUUCUCUGAUGACUCAGGCUGGACUCAGAGAAGAAUUCAAGGCAGCACUGAAUCCUUAUUACGGGGUCCUGGUUGAGUCCUUAUUACCUGGGGUAAGACUCAGACUUGAAUACUGGGGACUUAAGACUCGACUCAGACUCCAACUUUGGUGACUAGACUACAACAGUGGAAUAGACACAAAGUAUUUAUGUCGAGGGCCAAAAUAAAAAGUACUAUUGGAUUAUGAAGAAUAAAGCAUGAAUCAGAACAUUUGUACCUCUCAGCAAUACAUGGAAACUUGGUCAUAUUCUGGAUAGUUUGGAAAUCCCAGAAAACAGUUUUCCUGCACCUAAGCAUGAUAAAAGGUUCUCUGUCAGCCACCAGAUCCCACAGGCACCACCAAUAAGACAGUGUCAAAGUGCUAACAAGCAUUUCCACCCAAAGACAUUUCAACAAAGGCAAAGCAAAUGAAGGGCAUUAAACUUUAGUGAAGUUUCUGUUGCCUGCCAAUGUGUAUGUGCUUUUAAGUUUUGAGUGUGUGUGUGUGUGUGUGUGUGUGUGUGUGUGUGUGCGUGCGUGCGUGCGUGCGUGCGUGCGUGCGUGCGUGCGUGCGUGCGUGCGUGCGUGCGUGUGUGUGUGUGUGAAUGGUCCUGCAUUAUUUAUUUGUGCUCAUUAAAAGUAAUCAAUUGAAACUGGCAUUGAUGUAAGGGUCUUUAUUGGGCUUUCAGGAAUCCGUCACUGUAAUGUACCGAGUGACUUUCUAACCCUGCUUGAUUGUUUUGUUCCACAAAAACGCCCAAAGGAAUGAAAAUGUGUUGGUGCACACUCAUCAAUGCUAAGCAUCUCUCAGCGCUAGGGGAUUUAUGAACCCCAAAGGCUUUGGAAGAAAUUCAUAAUGGCUUAUAAGGCAGCGUGGAGAGGUAGGUAAGGAUGGCUGUCAAUAACUGAAUAUAACAACAAGGGCUAUGUCGGCUUAAUUUGUGUUAAUACAAAGCUCUGCGUUGAAUACGACACUAGAAGGGAGGUGAUGUACUGUAAAGGCAGUUAUGUUCUGUGUCGUUAUAAAUGAGUACGUGGGUGUGUUGAUUAAAAAAAACAGCCCAAGAGAAUUGAGUGUUGAAAGUGUGUUGACGCCUGUCUCAUUAACUAUAAAACUCCAGACAGGCAUGUUCUGUUCUCCUGAGCCCUUCCCUCAUAUGUAAACAAACAAAUUAGUAACAAUUCACCAUCAAUCAUGGCCGUUGAAUGAUGUGUGUUCGUGCUCAUGUGUUUUGGUCUACAGUAAACGGCUGCGUCUUUGUAUUCAGUAUUCAGUAUGCAGAGGCAAUGCCGUGAUUCAGUUCAAAAUCUAAGAACCAUGCAAAAUGAAGGACCCCUCCAGCAAAAUCCUCCUUUCUCCUUCAAAUCCUCACAGGAUGCCAUAGGGGGACGAGUGAAGGAAGUGAACUGCAUACACAGGAGGCCGGAAGAGUGACACCCUGCUGUCAAAUCAAUUCAAGGUUGUUGUGGGGCAUCUCAGGUACUGAAAACAAAUCAGUGUCAUGAAUGUGAAAGCAGAAGACAGAUCCCUUAUCUUGUCACUGAUGGGUUGCCUGCUGAAACCGUCUAAAUUGCACUUAAAUGGCGACAUGACUUGGAGUCAAGUCUCUAAAGAUGCUCCUGGUUGUACUUUCACAUUUUAGAAAAUGUGUUUUUGGCUGUUUUGGGGAUUUGAAUCAGGGAUUUAAAUUUGUCUUUAAUAUGAAUCAGGCAGACACACUUACCCAGAAUGUGUUUAGUUUAAUUAAACACUUUGAGUGGAACUGGGAAAAAGUAUCGUCGUCCUCCAAUGACAUUAUAAAAACAUGCCCUCAAGCUUUUUCCUUACAAGUAUCACAAAAAUAUUUGGGCUAAGAAGACUGUAGGCAUGUGUGGCUGGUUGAUAUUGAACAGAACACAUUUUUCCCAUUCUAUGUCCACAGGUUUGAACUGUGUUGUCAUGUAAAAAAUGAAAUCCUACAUUAUUUUUUUUUUCUCAAACACGCUUUCUAUCACAGCAAUCCUUAAAGGGAUAUUCCGGUGUAAAAUUAAGCUAGGGUCAAACAAACCGUACCACCGAGUUAGACACCCGUCGAGAGACGAACGUUGCCGACUGCUUGCUUCUCUAGUUAUACCAACUUUAGUAACGACCAAAGAUAGCAAUACAGAGAGCCAUGCACGCAACCAAAAAGCCAAUCUAUAGCCACAAAAUGGUCAGAAUGCUCAGAACAGCACCUAACUUCAUCAACAGUACAUAUAGGGUCCCAGCUAUAGCACUAGCCACCAAACAUCUUUUUAGCUUUGCCUGAUUUCUUUAGCAAAGAGACUUAACACAAUUCACCGUUUAUCAUCCAGCAGCCACUUGUUUGUACGUAGACCUCUGGGCGAGUCCAUCAACUGCAUUAUUUGUGGCUAUAGAAUGGUGUUUGGUUGAGCGUGUGGCUCUCUGUAUUGCUAUCUGCAAUUGUUACUAAACUAAAAAGCAAGCUGUCUGCAACAUUCAUCUCUCGACGGGGUGUCAAACUCAGCGUUAUGGUGUGUUUGACCCUAACUUAAUUUUACACCGGAAUAUCCCUUUAACUACUCAUGCUGGUUUAUGUGCAAACAUGUUUAUUCCAACAAGUAAUUUGACGUUAAAAAGGGGGGAAUCCAACACCAUGGUCGACAACUCUAUUAAUAGCUGCAGGCCUGUUUCUACAAGGGUGCAAAAGCAUGUAUUACACUCUAAUUUUACAUUUCUUUGCCCUCAAUAGAAUGGACACAAAGGAUUUUUUAUUUAUAUUUUUUAAUAUCAGGUAAGAAGCGAGUCAGGUCAUUUGCAAUGGCAAUAUGCCCCAACAGCAUGUGUUAACUUCA